AUAUUUUUUCAUUGCUCUUUGGCUAAAUUCCUUUGGAGUUGUAUUAGACUUUGGCUUCAUGUUAAUUGGAAUCCAUCUUCUUUCGAGGACUUGCGGCGCUGCGUCAGUACUUUAUCAGGCCGGUCUAAGAGGGUAUUCUGGGUUGGUUGGGCAGCGAUUUGUUGGUCACUGUGGACUACUAGAAACAAGUUCACUAUCGAACAUAUUUUCCCGGCUAACCCUGUGAAUUGCUUAUUUAAAGCCAAUGUCUUUUUGCAGCAGUGGAGAUCAUUGACUAAGGAAGUGGAUUUAGAGGCUUUCGACGACAUGUUAUCUAAGAUGAGAUCUACGGCUUCUUCCCUGCUGCGGCGAUCUAGGAGGAUGGCUUAA
rnacentral:rRNA from 1 species